UACGUAGGGUGCGAGCGUUAAUCGGAAUUACUGGGCGUAAAGCGUGCGCAGGCGGUUUUGUAAGCCAGAUGUGAAAUCCCCGGGCUCAACCUGGGAAUGGCAUUUGGGACUGCAAGGCUGGAGUGCGGCAGAGGAGACUGGAAUUCCGCGUGUAGCAGUGAAAUGCGUAGAUAUGCGGAGGAACACCGAUGGCGAAGGCAAUCCCCUGGGCCUGCACUGACGCUCAUGCACGAAAGCGUGGGGAGCAAACAGG
rnacentral:rRNA from 1 species